rnacentral:rRNA from 1 species
UACGUAGGUGGCAAGCGUUAUCCGGAAUUAUUGGGCGUAAAGCGCGCGUAGGCGGUUUUUUAAGUCUGAUGUGAAAGCCCACGGCUCAACCGUGGAGGGUCAUUGGAAACUGGAAAACUUGAGUGCAGAAGAGGAAAGUGGAAUUCCAUGUGUAGCGGUGAAAUGCGCAGAGAUAUGGAGGAACACCAGUGGCGAAGGCGACUUUCUGGUCUGUAACUGACGCUGAUGUGCGAAAGCGUGGGGAUCAAACAGGAUUAGAUAC